UCUUAUGGGUGAGUAAAGAAAGUAGUUUCUUGAGAUGGAAUCUACUCCUGGUGAAGAUGCUGUGAA
rnacentral:pre_miRNA from 1 species